UACGGGGGGGGCAAGCGUUGUUCGGAAUUACUGGGCGUAAAGGGUUUGUAGGUGGCUUGUUAAGUCAGACGUGAAAUCCCUCAGCUUAACUGGGGAACUGCGUCUGAUACUGGCGAGCUUGAGUGCAGGAGAGGAACGCGGAAUUCCAGGUGUAGCGGUGAAAUGCGCAGAUAUCAGGAAGAACACCCGUGGCGAAAGCGGCUCUCUGGAACGGUACUGACGCUGAGACGCGAAAGCGUGGGGAGCGAACAGG
rnacentral:rRNA from 1 species